GCGGACCAAAUAUGUCUAAGUGUUUAUCCUGGCAUUCUUUUAGGGCAGAGUCUAGGCCCUUACGUGGGUUCCUGCCCAUCUUAGUUAGGAACUGGGUGAUUUUUGGAUCAACUUCGGGGGUAUCUUAGACUUUAUUCGGCACCGUAGUCCUUGGGCACUCUGCCCUCAGUUUGUUCAGUGCCGCUUUACUGAGCGGGUGUCGUACCCAAUUUUUAAGGUACUUGGCUACAUGGUCCGCUGGGAGCCACUCCACUGAUCUCAGAUGAUGAAGUUCAUCUGGGUCAAAGAGAGGUUCUCCCAACGGAUCCAAGAGGCUGGACCCCUGGAUUGUGGGGUGAAGCGCCCC